rnacentral:rRNA from 1 species
AUUGAACGCUCGCGGCAGGCCUAACACAUGCAAGUCGAGCGAGCGGCGGACGGGUGAGUAAUGUAUGGGGACUGCCCGAUCGAGGCGGAUAACUCCUGGAACCGGUAGCUAAUCCCGCAUACCAUCGGCUAACCCAUCUGGGAUUAGCUAGUAGGUGAGGUAAUGGCUCACCUAGGCGACGAUCCCUAGCUGGUCUGAGAGGAUGAUCAGGCACGCUGGGAUUGAGACACGGCCCAGACUCCUACGGUGGCAGAAGGGGGGAAUAUUGCACAAUGGGGGCAAGCCUGAUGCAGCCAUGCCGCGUGUAUGAAGAAGGCCCUAGGGUUGUAAAGUACUGUCAGUCGGGAGGGGUUACCGACAGAAGAAGCACCGGCUAACUCCGUGCCAGCAGCCGCGGUAAUUC